UCGCCGCUGCCGGUGGUGGAGGUGCCGUUCAGGUCGGCUGGUGAGGCGGACGCCUGGUGCCCCUUCCUGGAGACUCUCACCGACGCUGAGAUGGAGAAGAAGAUACGCGACCAGGACCGUAAUACCAGGCGGAUGCGUCGUUUUGCCAACACCACACCAGGCUGGUGAUUGGUGCAGCCCUCCUCCACGUCGCCACAUCUCAUCACC